rnacentral:rRNA from 1 species
GACGAACGCUGGCGGCGUGCUUAACACAUGCAAGUCGAACGGAAAGGCCCUGCUUUUUGGGGGUGCUCGAGUGGCGAACGGGUGAGUAACACGUGAGUAACCUGCCCUUGACUUGGGGAGAACUUCAGGAAACUGGGGCUAAUACCGGAUCGGAGCUCCGCCUGCAUGGUGGGGGUGGGAAAGUUUCGGCGGUUGGGGAUGGACUCGCGGCUGAUCAGCUUGUUGGUGGGGGAGUGGCUUACCAAGGCUUUGACGGGCAGCCGGCCUGAGAGGGUGAACGGCGACAUUGGGACUGAGAUACGGCCCAGACUCCUACGGGAGGCAGCAGUGGGGAAUAUUGCACAAUGGGCGGACGCCUGAUGCAGCAACGCCGCGUGCGGGAUGAAGGCCUUCGGGUUGUAAACCGCUUACGCCUGUGACGAAGCGUGAGUGACGGUAAUGGGUAAAGAAGCACCGGCUAACUACGUG